UGCAUCAAAAAUUAUGCCAAUCACUCCUACACCGUGAAAAUAUCAUAAUGCAACUACGAGGAGGGGUAAAACAAUUCAAUCAUACAAAAUCACAAAUUUCACAUAUUUCAUCAAAUUUUUAGGUCGUUACAAGGCCUCUUUUCACAUUUUCAAUGACCCAAUUCCAAAUGUGAGUAGCUCUAAAUUUAGUCCGUAGCAGGAGCCUCAGGUAGUGGUUGGGAAUAGAGCCGAAUUGCAACUAAGAAUUCCAGCCAGCUCUUCCAGAUUGGGCACUUUUUUUACAGGAUAAAUAAUACUCUUUAGCAUGUUGAUGUGAAGGAAUGAAACAGUUUCAAAAUAAGUAAAGUCAGAUCAAGAAGCAGUACUUGGGAUCUUUCUGCUUCACCAAAAAUUAGGGUAUCAUCUGCAUAUAGCAGAUGUGAGAUAUUGACCAGUUUCCAUGCAUUGUUUCCCACAUCAAAGCCAUUAAUUAAUUACCUUUGUUUAGCUUUGUCUAGUAAUCUACUAAGACCUUCCAUUUCUAGAAUGAAGGGGGAAGAGAGUUAAAGGAUCUUCCUGAGUGAAGCCCUUUUGAGGCGAAAGAAGCCUACCAGGCAUCUAUUAUUCAGCACAGGAUGCUUGACUGUUGAAAUACUGAACUGGAUCCACUUUAUCGACUUAUCACCAAACCCAUCUUCCUCAGCUUGUUGAUAAGAUAGGGCCAGUUCAACUGAUCAAAUGCCUUUUCAGUGUCCAGUUUUGCCUAGGAUUCCUUAUUUUCCAUUUUUCAAUGUCCAAUCAAGGACUUGAUUUGCAGUGAGGCAUCAGUGAUCGCCUAUUUUUAAUGAAGGAACCCUACCUGGCAUCUAUUAAUCAGCACAAGACACUUGACUGUUGAAAUACUGAACUGGAUCCACCUGUCACCAAACCCAUCUUCCUCCACAUGUUGAUUAGAUCAAGAGUUGUGAUGGCAGGCAGAAUCUACCAUUUGAAGAUGAAAGCGAAGCUCAAAGAAGUUGAUGAAUUGGCGCCCAAAUUCGGUCCAGGAGAUGAAGGCAUUACUUACUAUUUCAAGGUAAAUGUUUUAAGUCUUAUCUUCUCAAUCUAAAUUUUGUUUUGCAGUUAAGGUGUGAGCGCUGCCACGAGGAGUCCAAAUCCGAGGUGGCAGCCAAGCUCGGAUUGAAGGACCACGAGCUUCCUAGUGGAGCUCCAUGCAGCAUGCGUUACUCGUGCAAGCUUUGUGCUAACAAGGGAUUUGUGGACCUACUAGGAGGUGGCAAGCCCAUUUACACCUCAAGAGACUGAUGUCACCAUAAUGACUCUCAGGAUUUGGGGCUUUGAGCCCAUAAGGCCCUCUCUGAAUGGGGGAUUUAGAGUAUCCAGAGAAAUAGCAUGAAGAUGGCAAAAAUUUUCACGUAGCAGAUGAUAUCAACUUGACAAAGGGAUUCUACAAGGGUCAGUACCCAGACGACGGUGUUGAAUUUCGAGUUUCCAACGUCGUAACAUAUUUUGUCAAGAUACAGGGUUAAAGGAAAAGCUUACAAAAGUUUUACAGUGUGAUUUUGUAAGAUGUAGGAUUGAAGUUCCGUAAAAUGUUACUACUAUUCGCAUGUUGUCCAAGUCACUUUUUUUUUUUUUUGUUUAAGUUGCUUUUAUUUUUGUCUAAAGCGCUUUCCUAUUACUAAGUAAUAAUAGUCAAAUUUAAGGUUUCAAAUUUUAUUAGAUAUGAGCAUCUCAUGGGCAUAGGGCCAAUCAGAACUUCUGUUGAAGAAAUUAC